rnacentral:rRNA from 1 species
AUUGAACGCUGGCGGCAGGCCUAACACAUGCAAGUCGAGCGGAUGAAGGGAGCUUGCUUCUGGAUUCAGCGGCGGACGGGCGAGUAAUGCCUAGAUAUCUGCCUGGUAGUGGGUGAUAACGUGCGGAAACGGGUGCAAAUACCGCAUCCCUCCAGAGGGAGCACGAGUGGGAUCAUCGGACCUCCCGCUUUUCGAUGAGCCGAGGUCGGAUUAUCUAGUUGGUGGGGUAAGGGCUUACCAAGGCGCCGAUCCGUAACUGUUCAGAGAGGAUGAUCAGUCACACUGGAACUGAGAAACGGUCCAGACUCCUACGGGAGGCAGCAGUGGGGAAUAUUGGACAAUGGGCGAAAGCCGGAUCCAGCCAUGCCGCGUGUGUGAAGAAGGUCUUCGGAUUGUAAAGCCCUUUAAUUCGGGAGGAAGGGCAGUAAGUUAAUACCUUGCUGUUUUGACGGUACCAACAGAAUAAGCACCGGCUAACUUCGUG